CCGCUCCGCUGCCAGCUCCCAGCGCCCCUCUCCGGCUGCUUCCUCCGCAGCACUCUCCAACGGGGCCGCCGACCACGCCCCCCGCGCUGAUUGGUCAAGGGCCGAGCGCAGCCUCCCAUUGGCUGCGGAGCGCCUCGCGCCCCACCCGCUCCCGCCCCCGCGGCCAGCCCCUCCCCGCCCCUCCCUCCCGCGCUCCGCCCGCUCCGCGCAGCGCCCCUGGGGGCUGCAGUGCUGCCGGUGCCUGGCACCGCCUCGGGCUGCAGCCAGCCCCGGCCCGGCCCCGCUGCGCCUGAGGCGGGCAUGUUAUCAAUUGAGAAUGACUCAAAAUCCAAGUGUCCAGGUUACAAAUUGAUUCCAUUAGGCAAGUAGAAUAUGAGCAAAGUCACAGCGCUGGACGACAGGGGAGUCACCGCUCCGCCACCUGCCGUGACAAGUCUCUUCAUUAGCCUAUAUUUAUACUGUGUUGUCUGCGUUGUUCCACCCUGCAAAUUACAUAAACCCAUCCUUUCUGCGCAUGUUCCUUCGUUUGGGUUAGGGUCUGCCUUCCCUUCUGGUGGUCGUUGAGGAUGAAGUAAGCAGUCCUCCUCAGGUGUCCUCUGGUUCACCCGUCUCCAAAUAUGGACUUCCUUUGGCUGGUUAAUGUCCCGAAUCCCACUUCUCAAAAUUAAAGCUUAGUCCUUGGAACAUGACUGAUUAAUGUCCGAGCCCACAUGUGGCCUGUUCUCUCUUAGCUCAAAAUUAAGGAUGCACCUAAAGUUUUAGUCUUUGAAAUACUCAGCAAUUAGCUAGCUUAUUCUUUGCACAUUACCAUCUCUAGCAUGACCUCUCGGUUAGGCACAUCUCCUGAUUUGCAACAGCUGUAUAUACACUGCCGUUUGCAGCUAAGCAUGCUUAACAUUCUAUUCAAAUGUUUCUUUAUUGAAUAAUUACAAUUACCUAUUACAAUUCUAUUAAAAUGUUUCUUUAUUAAACAAUUACAAUCACCUAUUACAGGCAGAGCCUGCGGCCCCAGCGCCGUGCGGCCGAGAGAGCCCAGCCCAGGGCCCGGGGCGUGCUGAGCGGCUCGGGGCCCCGCACGGUGCCAGCCGCGGCCGUGGCUGCCCUCACAGCAGGCCUGAAUGGCAGCUGCGGCACUCAGCGGCUGCUGACGGCUCUGGCCCCAGGGAGACCCCACGGCCUCAGGCUCCCUCAUUAGCGUAACCCGCCCUUAAUUACCGGGGCUGGGGAAACGGUUUGGUGCAAGGGCUGAGCUCCCCCAGCUGCCUCUGCUGCCUUCAGUCUCUUACCAGGAGACAGGAAAGGGAGGGGAGCCAAGGCAGAGGCUGCAGGGGACUGGCACCGAGCGAGGCUCAGGGCUCAGGGCUGGCACUCUCCUGGCAGCAGCAGAUGAGAGCAGUGCUGAGCCCGGGCCCUUUUCUGGCUCCUCUCCCUGCCACCCCACGGCUGCUCUGGGAGUAUCUACCUGGCUCCACCUGCAGCACUGCCUCCAGUGCUGCUGUGCCCGGCCCAGGGAGGAGCUGGAACUGCUGAGAGGGUCCAGAGGAGGCCACCAGGGAAACACCUGUCUCUUGUGUACUGGAGAAGGAAUGGUGUGUGUGCCAUCCUGUGCUGGCUUUGCUGCCAUCCUCAGCAUCCUCCACUGGAAGGUCAGGAGUGCUGUGCUCUGCCCAGAGUGCAGCUUGUCUGAUCUGAACAGACCAGUGAUCUCCUCAGCUGUGCUCCUGAGAGGGAAGUUCUUCAUUAUCCACAGAGAAGUUUUCUUGUAAUCAUGGUUCUGCUGUUUCUUCAGGUGCCUGAAUCUGUGUGCUCCCACUUGUAUUUUGUUCACAGCAACCUUAACAUCUUUCUUAGAGCUCUUUGGGAUGUGCAGGCAGCAGUGCAUGCAGUGAGAUGUGUGCAAGCUGCUGCAGCAAGACAAGACCAGCAGCAGUGCUAAGAAGGAAUGCAGUGAGCAGUGCUGCCAGGCUUUUCUCUUUGAGGAACAUUUGUGUCUCCCACCUGAUGCUAUCAUAGAUUUGAAGAUGUGAAUGGACACUUCUGCCAUCACUGCUGCACUCUGGCACUGCGAUAGCUUCACAUUCCCCUUUCCCACCCCAAGUUUCCUUCCAUGGUCACACAACCAUGCAGAGCACAAUAUCAGACCCAGUCAUUGGGCACAGAUGAAAAAGCAAGCAGCAAAUUUCUUGGUGGAUUGUUUCCCUUCCUGUCAGAUCAACAUCAACCAACUCUCUGUAUCUGUGCAGUUGAUGCAUCUGGAACAGAGUGGGAACACACAGCUGGGAGCUAGGCAGGAGCAGCUUUCAGCUUGAUGAAACUGAACUGACAACAUUUAGCUCAUGCUAACCAUGAUUAUUAGUGUCAGCUGCUCAGCAAAGAGAGCUUGUCCAAAACAUGGUCAGAGAAUUUUGGUUCUCAGAAUGGACUUUGCAAGGUAUCAGCUCAGGCUGGCAAUGGAAACAAUUUCUGUUCUGUUCUAUGAACACUUCCCCUUCCCUUUGCCAAGGACAGGUCUUACACUGUGUGCUAGUUUGAACCUAGCUGGGAUAUUUUGGUGAGAAGAAUUAGAUGCUAGGCUGUGAAAAGGGAGCAGUGGUGAUGUCUGCUGGACUCAGGCUUGCUGAGAUGGACAAAAACAAGAACACAAAUGUAGAUAACAGAGUUGCUUUCUGUCUCUUGGGGCUGCAUGAACUUCUCUCUAACCUAACUUGCUGCCUGACUAAUCCUUCUGCUUCCUAACCCCCCUGGCUGAGCCUCCAAACUCACCCUUGAACGUAAGGCAAAGUCUGAGAUAAGGCAGAGGGGUGGACAGGAGAAGGAAGGGUGGUUGGGAGCCUAUCCAGGGCACUCUGGUUUCUGGGAGGGCUGCUGUGUUUCUGUACUACUGGUUCAUGUGUGAAGUUCAGUAUCUAUUGUACAUACCUGCUUGUGUACUGUGCUGAGCUGUAACUAUAAAGCUUCAUUCCAUUUCCAA